rnacentral:misc_RNA from 1 species
UACGUAGGGGGCAAGCGUUGUCCGGAAUUAUUGGGCGUAAAGCGCGCGCAGGCGGCCUUUUAAGUCUGGUGUUUAAGCCCGGAGCUCAACUUCGGGACGCACGGGAAACUGGGAGGCUUGAGUGCAGGAGAGGAAAGUGGAAUUCCACGUGUAGCGGUGAAAUGCGUAGAGAUGUGGAGGAACACCAGUGGCGAAGGCGGCUUUCUGGUCUGUAACUGACGCUGAGGCGCGAAAGCGUGGGGAGCAAACAGG